UCCAUGUGACUGACUCUGUGUGUUUGCAUAUGUGUCCUGCCUCUCUGCUCCCAGCUGUUAAGAGGUCAGUGUUGAUCAGUGGCUGUCCAGGCCUUUCAGAGCCACUGACACACCAGCAGCACAAUGAUGAUGUCACUGACUCUACUGCUGACCACCCUGGGGCUCCUGGUUCACGGUUCAUUAGGCGAAAUCAUCCUGACUCAGACUCCAGGAUCUCAGGCUGUUGUUCCAGGACAGACUGUCUCCAUCAAAUGUAAAGCCAGUUCAGGUGUUAGCAAUGAUUUACAGUGGUACCUUCAAAAACCUGGAAAAGCACCUAAGCUCCUAAUUUAUGAUGCUACUUCGCGUUGGUCUGGAGUUUCUGAUCGUUACAGUGGAAGUCAGUCUGGAACUGAUUUCACUCUGACCAUCAGCAGAGUUCAGGCUGAAGAUGCAGGAGUUUAUCACUGUCAGCAGGAUUACAGCUUACCGUUCACACAAGGUCAGGUCACAGUGACUCAGCCUGCAGCAGUGACAGCUGAUCUGGGAGGAUCUGCCAGGAUCCCCUGUAGGACCAGUCAGAAUGUUCAUGGCUCUAACUGUUUAGCCUGGUACCAACAGAAAGAUGAACAACCUCCCAAGCUUCUCUUUUAUUAUGUUGGGAAUCGAGUAUCGGGAACUCCAAGUCGUUUUAAUGAUGGUGGAUCAAACUCUGACUUCACUCUGACCAUCAGUGGAGUUCAGGCUGAAGAUUCUGCAAUUUACUACUGUCAGAGUUAUCACAGUGAUAGUGUGUUCACACAGUGA